rnacentral:rRNA from 1 species
GAGUUUGAUCAUGGCUCAGGAUAAACGCUGGCGGCGUGCCUAAAACAUGCAAGUCGAACGGACCCUUUCGGGGGUUAGUGGCGGACGGCUGAGUAACACGUGGGUGACCUGCCCUCGAGCGGGGGAUAACUGCCCGAAAGGGUGGCUAAUACCGCAGAUGUCGCGGAUUCGGUUUCGUGACUGAACUUACGGGGUUCGGGGAGGGGCCUGCGUCCGAUUAGCUAGCUGGUGGGGUGACGGCCUACCAGGGCGACGAUCGGUAGCUGGUCUGAGAGGAUGAUCAGCCAGACUGGGACUGCGAACGGCCCAGACUCCUACGGGAGGCAGCAGUUAGGAAUUUUGGGCAAUGGGCGGAAGCCUGACCCAGCAACGCCGCGUGGGUGAAGAAGGCCCUCGGGUCGUAAAGCCCUUUUCCCAGGGAAGAUGGUGACGGUACCUGGGGAAUCAGCCCCGGCUAACUACGUGCCAGCAGCCGCGGUAAC